CCGUCUCUCUUCUUCAUUCAAUUUUUCUCUUCCAGCCGUGCAAGCAUACCAUUACCUUUUUACAGUUUUUGCUUUAUUUGCAAAUUUUUUAUUUUCUUUUCCAGUUAAUCUCUCAGCACUUAAUUAAUUUUUCACACAAUAGUUUCUACACCGGAAACUAUUGUGUAUCUUUUACUAGAUCUAACCUUACGUUAGACCCUAGAUUUUUAUUCCUUCACAUUUUAUUUUCCUGCCCGAUUGAAGAAUUCAAGAACAAAUCCAACCGGUCUGUGGUGGAGUGUUCAAAGAUUGCUAUAAAUUAUUCAGGUUCUUUAAUUA
rnacentral:lncRNA from 1 species